ensembl:lncRNA
GGCUGGGGUAUUAGGGAGGUAGGGGCUGGGGUAUUAGGGAGGUAGGGGCUGGGGUAUUAGGGAGGUAGGUGCUGGGAUAUUAGGGAGGUAGGGGCUGGGGUAUUAGGGAGGUAGGGGCUGGGGUAUUAGGGAGGUAGGGGCUGGGGUAUUAGGGAGGUAGGGGCUGGGGUAUUAGGGAGGUAGGGGCUGGGGUAUUAGGGAGGUAGGGGCUGGGGUAUUAGGGAGAUAGGGGCUGGGGUAUUAGGGAGGUAGGGGCUGGGGUAUUAGGGAGGUAGGGGCUGGGGUAUUAGGGAGAUAGGGGCUGGGGUAUUAGGGAGGUAGGGGCUGGGGUAUUAGGGAGGUAGGGGCUGGGGUAUUAGGGAGGUAGGGGC